GAUCGGUUUUUCGUUUUUUGCCGCCGCGAUCACGCGAUCGAGGUCGAACCCGUCU
rnacentral:sRNA from 1 species